rnacentral:lncRNA from 10 species
CUUGACCCAAAUAAACUCUUACAUUGUUUGCCUCAAUUUUUUCCUCUAGAUCAACACAAUAUUGAGUGUGUAGCUUCUGUUAUUUUCCAAAGAAUGUUGAAGUUCAUUUUAGCACUCAGCUAAGUUGCUUGCAGAUCAGACCCUUUUGAGGUUUGUUUUUAACCUUUAUGAAAGCAUUUUUAAAGAAGGCUCCCUCUAGAGCUAAUUCAGCCUGACUACUUAGUCAUACCCAUUCUGAGAUCUCCUGAAUGUCCUGGGUGUUCCUGAGGUAUCCCCUCUCUGGUUAGUUGAAAUGCAAAUUUAUUCUUGUCCUGAGUGAGCUCUAGGCAUUGUUCAACUUACAGCUCUGAAGUUCUUUACCCAGCUUUAUGGAGUCUCACCCUGCACAUGUAUGGCUUAGUCUUCAGUCAAUGUCUUUUUUUGUUUGUUUGUUUGUUUGUUUGUUUAUUGAGACAGAGUUUUGCUUUGUUUCCCAGGUUGGAGUGCCAUGGGGAUUGUAGCUCACUGCAACCUCCACCUCCUGGGUUCAAGCGAUUCUCCUGCCUCAGCCUCCUGAGUAUCUGGGAAUACAGGCAUGCACCACCAGACCCAGCUAAUUUUUGUAUUUUUGGUAGAGACGGGGUUUCACUGUAUUGACCAGUCUGGUCUUGAAUUUCUGACCUCAAGUGAUCUGCCUGCCUCAGCCUCCCAAAGUGCUGGGAUUACAGGCAUGAGCCACCUUGCCCAGCCUAGUCUUCAGACAAUGUCUAAAGGGAAUCACCAUGCAGACUCCGGGACCCUCCCUCUCUGGGUAGCCCCCUCAUCUCGGGUACUCUGAACCUCAAGUACCGGCUGCCUUUGCCUCCCCAGACUCCACACUGUAUCCUCACCUCGGUGACACCCCAUCCUGCACUUGGGUCCCCCUCCCUGUCCCCUCUUCUCUUGGAGAUUACAAUCUUUGCUGCUUGUUUUCCCAUGUCUGGAAGAAGUUGUUUCACAGUCAUUGUCCAGUUUUCUGGUUGUUUAUUCCAGAAGAGCAAGUUCAGUACCAGUGCCUCCAUCAGGGCCAGAGGCAGAACUCUGCAGCCUGCGUUCCACGGGGCAGAGAACUCAAUGGAUUCUAUUCAGAGAAUCUCAGAGUGUAAACAUGAAAACAGUGGACUGGAGAAACCCACGCCAGAUUCAGGGGGGUGAAAUUCAUGGUACCUGCGGGGAGAGUGCCCUGAGAACGAGAACAGGGAGGCAGCCUUAUCUGUAAUAUUGCGUUCCUUUUAUAAAAAUGUCAAGCAACUGUGAUGAAACAUGAAAACUUGUCGGUUUGAGAUGGUGGCCACACAACUGUUUGCUAUGCUGUUCUCUUUGCUCUCUGUCUUCUUAAUUUCCUGUGAAAGAGAGAAAGACAGAAAUCAGUUUGGGCCAUCCAUACAAGUGCAGUGUGAGGCCAAGGACGGUAGUGAUGGGUGUCAGGCAAUUUGCCUGGCUGCCUGGCUGGUCCCUGGCUCUCUGUGUGACCCCUGGCCCUCUCUGCCCAUCAGUGUCCCCAGCUGUGGCAUGAGGAGUGUACUUCAAAGUGGAUCUUGCUACUGAGUCCUCACCAGUGUUUGUUUAAUGGAAUAGACUAGAAUACAUUAGAAAACAUGAGUGCAUCAGCUACGUGGGCUGGAGAUAGGGGAAGGGGGAGUUAGUGUUUAAUGGGUACAGAGCUUCUGUUUGGGAUGACGAACAGGUUCUGGAAAUGGGUGCUAGUGCUGAUAGUCAACAAUGUGAGUGCACUGACUGCCAUUCAACUGCGUGCUUAAAAAAGGUCAAAAUAGUACAUUUAUGUGAUGGAUAUUUUUGCACAAUGAAAAAAGAGUGCAUGGUGUGGAGCAAGGGUAACUAUUGUUUCGUGAACCUUUCCUUUUCACGGAUUUAAACAACUGGAAACUCAAAACCCUCUGGGAUAGAAGAAGCCAUUUUUAGAAGGCUCCAUGGCAGCAAGGGCUCAGGAAGACAGAAGACAGACCCUCAUGCCUUUUCUUCCACCUCUCGGUCUUUUUAUUACUUCAAUUUUACUUUCACACUCCUGCUGCUGGUUCCAGCCUCUCCACCAGACAUCCAGGAUUGGGGCCAAUGACAUUCUCUACCCCACUUAUCCAGGCAAUAGGAUUUCAAUUUCUUUUCUCUUGAGGUGGAACUGCAUUGUGUUCCAAGCAGCCCCAUCAGCGUUAAACGCUCACCAUAAUGAUGAUGGCCAUUAGUCUGCCAAGCUCUAAGUAGCAAAAGAGAAGAGAGAGAGAGAGGGGAGGCAAUGCAUUGUGCCAUUUAAGCAGCAUGGGAAGUGGUGAUGGCCAGGAAAGCAAAAAUAGAUUGAUGUAAAUGGGAAGCCUUGCCGGGGAGGGCACAACUGAGGGGCCUGGAGAGAGAGCAGCUCCGGGCCCUUCUGUCACCGUGCUCCACUUUGUCAGGGCCCAUCACAUAGAAAAAUCAGCCUGGGGCUUUUAAUGCACAGUUUGGAGAAUUAGUUUCAAUUAGCAGAGAGACAUUUUAAAUCUCGAGAAAUAUUCAGCCUUCAUAGAUUCCAUUUAGCAUUUAAAAUCCAUUCUCAGCACUCAUAGAAUCAUAGAGCAUAAAACUAGAAAAGACCUUGGAAAUUAUCCCCGCAGCUUCCUUUGUACAGGGGGGCAUGGAGUGAUGGAGCCUACGGGGUCAACCUGCUGAGAGGCAGCUCCAGGACUUAGAAGUCAGCCUCUGGGCUCCCAAACCCCGUCUUCUUUCCAUUAAUACCCCUGGCUUCCCUUCUCUUCCCUAGGAGUGGGGGGCAGUGACCCGUGAUAUUUCCAGUUUGUGCACAGUUGUGCCUGUGUGUGUGUGUGUGUAUGUGUGUGUGUGUGUGUUUAUGUAUGCGUGUGUGUGUGCAUGCAUGUGUUUGCCAGUGGUAAGGACAGAAAAUAAGUGGCUAGUGACCUCCUUGGACACCUACACCUAACUCCGCAGCCUUCGGUGACCUAAAGAGUCAGUCUGUGCCUGGUGGUGGUCUGAGAGCCGCUAACACAGUCACGUUGCUGCAGGCCUGAGCUCAUGUUCUCGUUCCAUCUCUGCGCCCUGGGAGGAGAGUGGCCACAGCACUCCAAGUCUGUUUCUGCAGCUGCAGAAUGAGCUCAAUAGUGCCUACCUUGCAGGGCAUUUUUUGAAAAUGGAUAAUUACAUGAAUAGGUCACACACAUAGUAGGUCUUGGUAAAUAUCCCUUUUCAUCUCACAUAAGAACUCUCCAAGGGCAGCCUGAUGACAAGGUGGUCUCAGCGCCAUCGUGUUCCAUUUCGUGGCGUCUGGAACCAACACUUAAGCAGAACAGCACAUCCCACUUGUUUACAUCUCUGAUACCACCACCUCCUUUUGCUAAUGGGCUUCGGUUUUUCCUUUUCUUAUUCUCUUUGCCUAAAGGCAACAACGCUUGUCUUUAAUCAGCAUAAGGCAAUUUAGUACCCCUCACAUCAGCCUGCCAGG